rnacentral:lncRNA from 1 species
GCCCUACCCUGCCCUGCCCUUCCCCUCCCGCGGCUCCGGUGGGGAAGGCGGUGAGAGGGCGAGAAGGGCUGGGGAGGCGGGGAAGGAAGGAAAAUGGCCGCCGCUGGUGGGGAGGGAGGGCGGCCCCCCAGCGCACCUGAGGGAGAGGGGCCGCGCGUGGAGGAGCGUGUGGGGCAAAAGUCCAGCGGGCGGGCAGUAUAAGGAACUUCGCUCAGCAGAGGGAGGACAACGUGCAGCUGUUAUCAGUGUAACUCACAAGGGCUGGAUCGUGCCUGGAGAGCAUGACCCUCCCACAGCAGGAGAUAUCACUCAGGCCCAGGGCAGGCAGAGUCUCCAACACACCCAGAGGCUGCAGAUCAAGGUUUCCAUCAAUAGAGAAAAGGAUGGUGUAGAGAGCCCAGCAUAUCACGAUUCAGUGCAACAGAGAGACAGGGUCAGUUAUUAA